GGCUAUGAUGUAAUUCCUAAAAUAAUAUAUUCACUUAUAAAGUCAUGCUAAAAUCAUAUGAUCUUCCUAAAAUGACGAUAAUCUCUAAAUUAUGCUAGUCAUCCGAGAGAGAACAAGAAUACAAGAGCUAGGCAUCCAAGCAAUUCCUAAACUGUUAUGUGGCUCCUUUAAUUGUGUCUAAUCAGCAGUCUUGCAAAAUACCUAUCCAUACUAUCAAUCUAU
rnacentral:lncRNA from 1 species